UGUCAUAUUCCCAGCAGACCUGGAUGAGA
rnacentral:piRNA from 1 species